rnacentral:rRNA from 1 species
AGUGAACGCUGGCGGUAGGCCUAACACAUGCAAGUCGAACGGCAGCACAGUAAGAGCUUGCUCUUACGGGUGGCGAGUGGCGGACGGGUGAGGAAUACAUCGGAAUCUACUUUUUCGUGGGGGAUUACGUAGGGCAACUUACGCUAAUACCGCAUACGACCUACGGGUUAAAGCAGGGGAUCUUCGCACCUUUCGCGAUUCUAUUAGCCGAUGUCGGAUUAGCUAGUUGGCUGGGUAAAGGCCCACCAAGGCGACGAUCCGUAGCUGGUCUGAGAGGAUGAUCAGCCACACUGGAACUGAGACACGGUCCAGACUCCUACGGGAGGCAGCAGUGGGGAAUAUUGGACAAUGGGCGCAAGCCUGAUCCAGCCAUACCGCGUGAGUGAAGAAGGCCUUCGGGUUGUAAAGCCCUUUUGUUGGGAAAGAAAAGCAGCAGGUUAAUACCCCGAUGUUCUGGCGGUACCCAAAGAAUAAGCACCGGCUAACUUCGUG